AGUGUUUAUGUUUUGGUUCUUGUCACUGUAACUCCGUCUGGAUCGCAAAUGAACACAACAUUUUCAAGUUAAAAAGAUCACGCUCGGAUCAUCAUCUUCCUCUUCCAAGUGACGAACCUAAAUCAAAGCCGAGAUUCACAAUUUUCUCAAGUUCGAAGAAACCGCCAUAGAAGAUGGCAACUAAGGCGAAUUCCAAAGGCUACAAUUUCGCUUCUACUUGGGAACAGUUCUACAAAUGGUUUACUGAUCUUGAAUCAGCGAUGAAGUCUGAGACAGAGGAGAAGUAUCGGCUCUAUGUCACUACUUUAACUGAACGCAUCCAGACGUGUUGAUGAUAUACUUCAUCAGGCAGUUUCAUUUUCUUCCACCCUUUCCUAGUUGAUGGAGAAGCAGAAAUUAUAUCCUCCAAUUUUUAUUCUCCAUAUAUGAACGUAUCAAAUUCAAAAUUUCUCCCACUACUGAGACAGCUUGAUGAAUGCAUAUCGUGAGUAAAUGAUGUUGGAUUCAAUAUUAUGAACUUUAACAUUCAUUAUUUGAGAAGGACAAUGGCUGGUUUAUCAGCUUUAGUGACUUACGAUUUUAGUAACUGUUAAUGGAGCAUCAACUGUUUACUCAUUCUUUCCAGUAUUAUCAGAGGAAAUUUCAAGUCUGGCACCUUUUUGUGGAUCCUUUGUAAGUUUUAUUUAUGCCGUGCUGUCUAUGUUCUUCAUCUAUGUCUUUGGUCAAUUUAACACUGAAAUAGUUUUUGGUGCCUUGUAUACUGAAUUAUUUUGGGCAUUGAGCAUAUAUAUAUAUAUAUAUACUUAUAUAUCCAUAAUAAGUAUAUACACUUAGUAGUUGAGAAUUUACUUAUUUCUUCUUCUUCUCGUUCUCUUUACACCAUUUAGCGUCCAUCAAAUAAUGCACAGCCGAACAUUCAUCAUUUCAUCCCAUCACCAUUGUUAACUGUGAAUCAGGAACCUAAUUUUGCCGUCAUUGCCUCGAUAGUAUUAUCUUGAUUUUUGUUUGUUUAUACUAAUCUCUAUGUCUUUGUUUAGAGAUCCCAAUGAUUUCGUUUGUUAUAUGUGAUACUUCCAACUACACUGUAGUAAACUUUCUUUGAAUCUAAUUAUAACUUCUUAAAAGUCUAGGAUUCAGGAAAAAAUGAGCUAGCUUAAGUGAUCAAGAUUAUUUCCGUUUGUUAUAUGUUGUGCGGUGCUUCCUUUUUUUUUUAUCAAAUUUGCUUGUUCCUGAACAGGUCAACGUACCUGUAUGACAUCUUACACCCAAAACUGAUUCAUGAAGCAAAUUUUCAUCUAUUUUGCGAGCUCGUUCAUAUCCUUAAAGUUGAAGUUUUGGAUGAGCAGCCAACUAGACAGAGUGCACCCCUGGCCAGACUGCGGCCUACAUUACAAAGAAUAUUGGCCGAUGUUAGUGAGAGAUUGACUGUCCGUGCAUUACAAACAUAUAUUCGAGAUUAGAAAGCCACCAAGCUUAUCACUAAGCGAUCAAUUACAAUGGAUGACCAGUUUUUCCUUAUCAAGUAUCUCCUUAUCUUGAGAGAACAGAUUGCGCUUUUUGACAUAGAAUUUUUAGUCACCCACAAAGAGCUUGAUUUCUCUCAUUUGCUGGUUAGUUCCUCGACAUUCAAGUCUACUUCGUAUGACAGAUCUAUUUUUUUCUUCUUUUCAUUAUCGCCUUAAGAGGUGCUUAUCUUUAUGCACAUUUCAGAUGUUUUUCCUCCUUCAGUAUCUUUCUUUGUUGAUGAAUUUGUUAACUUGCUCCGAUAAUUCAUGUCAAAAAUGUUGGUGGGAACACUUGAGGAGGAUACUGAGGUUUAGCGUCAUUUUUUGACUGGUCUAGGUCAACCUCUCUAGCAAGUAGCAAGGACCCUGUCACCCUCGAGGUUUGGAGAGUCAAAUAGAUACCAAGAAGGAACUGGAAAAAAUGUCUUACGAUAACUUGUGAGGAGUUCAUCAUGUCGAUCACUAAAGCUAGUUAUGGAUCCUAUGUUUUCAUUUGUGACCAAGGUCACUGCCAUAAAAGUUGCUCUUCAACUCAGAAUCAAAAAGUUGAUUCUGCCAUAGUUAGCCGCUGAAGGAACAAGCUUUCGCUACACCAGAUAAGGUGGCUGAACUUGUUCAGAAGGUAUAUAGCAAAAAUGAAUUUCUAUUUGCAAAACCUAUCAACGAGGAUCCUACUUUUCCAACCGAGCAAGUAGCCGUUGAACAUACUUGGGCUUGCAGCUUUGUUCCCGAGCUUUAGUCUUUGUGUUGGGCUUUGCAGUCUUAAGGCCUUUUAACAAAGCUGUGCCGUUUUGCUCUGUUGUCUUUACAAUCUUUGGCUGGUUUCAUAUGGGAUUUAAUUAUCUGGUACC